GCAUUGAUGGGGCAGAGGCAGCCCACGGCCUCUUCAUCAUAGAUUCGCCUCGGGAUUAAUGGGCCGAGAGCGGGGUUCGGCUCCCCGUCGAUGCA